GGGGGUGUAACUCAGUGGUACAGUGCUUGCCUAAUGUGCAUGAGGCCCCAGGGUUUGAUCCCCAGCAUCCCCC
rfam:Ictidomys tridecemlineatus contig038378, whole genome shotgun sequence.